UGGUGUGUCAUUGGUUGCAGCCCAGAGCUGGCACCAGCUCAAAGGGGAUGUUGAGAAAUGCAAUCCAUACACUGGCACUAUUAAAAAUAGCAUGGACCACAACCAUAGACCAAGAUCUUUUUAGGACGCUGGCAUAACAUCAAUUCAAAAACUACCUUUCCCAUAAAGCCUGAGGAUAUUUGCUCUCCAAGACACCAAGGUGACCAGGACCAGUUGCUUUAAGGGGUUUAAGGGGUGAGUGUUGAUCACUUCUUAUUUCAUUGGCGGUGACAGAUUAAGUCAAUAAAAGAAUUUAAAGCAGUAUCAUGGGCCCUUCAUGAUAAAAAUGGUAUUGCUUUGAAUUGAAUUUUUAUUGAGGUUUAUGCAGACUGUUCCCAUUUGGCCUUUUUUAGGGAGGUCCUGUCGGAUUUGAUAUGAAUAUUCUGUGUCAUGAUAUGUUCCUGCUUCUGCUGGGAGUCAUUUCUUGUCAGAACAAUAAUCGCAAUGCCAAGUCAGAUGGAAAACCUGCAAAGAAGCCUAACAGCCAGGUUAUAGAGAUGAUCCAGGAUGGCCCUGAAGAUGUCCCAAACCCUGCACUAGCAGGUGCUGGCGAUUCCAGUAAGGAAACUAACUCAGGAGGUCGUGGCACCGCCCAACAAAGCGCAUCUGUCAACAAACCUGUUGAUAAAAUGAUGCUGCACUUUCUUAAGAACACAUUAGUGACAUGCAAUGAUGGUACUGCCGCUGGGUAAGGCACAGGACUGACAUCCUCACUGUUGGCCAGAGGUGCAUAAACUUGGCAAUCUGUAGAUCAUCUAGGUCAUGGGUUUGAUUCCCAGAGGAUAAAUUAACUGAUAAUAUUUAAACAUUUAAUGCAAUGUAAGUCACUUUAGAAAAAAAACAUCUUCCAAAUCAUAAAUGUACAAAAUUGUUGCAAUGUUAAGUUAAAUAUCAGUACUUUGACAGUUUUGUAAAUGUCCUCAUAUGGCUAUGGUCCCUAGACCAUCUAUAUUUAUUUGUGUCCCACAGGUUUUACCUAAAGGAGUUCAAAGGAAGUAAGAGAUGGCUGAUAUGUUUGAAAGGUGAGUAUUUAAAACAAAGUUAAUUUUGUCGAGAGUGGUCAGCAGGCUUAAAUGCAGUGCUCAGCAUUAUUUUGACGGCUGCAUCUUCUUAGACAUGUAAUUAGACGUCACUUUUUUUGGAGCAUGUCAUUUUACGUCAACAGCAUGUUGAAAGGAGAUAUAGUCUCACUAGUCAAGAAAAGUAACAUGAUGUUGAAUUAGACUGUUUUUGUUACUUAAAGAUUAAUUUAAAACAAUAAAAUUAUACUGCAGUGUAUCCUCUCUACUGCAAGUUGUUGUUUUUUGAUGGAUAAUGUGAGGUUCAUUUCAAUUAUUCUCUUUUAGGUGGCUGGUGCUGCUAUAACAAAGAGACCUGUGAUUCCAGAUACAAAGGUAGGCUGAUAUUAACCAGGCUCACAACAACACAUCUUGCUUUCUUUUAUCUAGUCAUGCAAGCCAUACUCAAGUGAUUCUAAAUGAAAACUACCUGUCUGAUUAUUUGCAGGGACUGGAUUACUAUCAACACAAGUUGAUGAAAAUCCUCACUAGUAUAAUGCUUAUAUUGUGUGCGUUCCCUAUUGUUCAAGCGAUGUGUGGAGUGGUAACAAAGUAGCAUCAAAGUCCAAACAGUUAAAAGAAACAGGUACAUUUUUCAGACUAUUAAUGUUUUUUUGUUACCAAAAUUAGGACUCUAUAUUUUUUUUUUAUUCCACCACAUAAUAUGCUUUCAUGGGAUCUCAAAUUAUCGGGAGGUGAUCAAAGAUCUUGUCUCAAAAGGACUGAAACAAGCCAAAGUUGUGAUGUUGGCAGGAACUAGUGCUGGGGGAGCAGGUGUCCUGCUGAACACUGAUAAGGUGUCCAGUCUUCUGGAGCAGCUGGGUGCAGAUGUUCAGCUCCACUGUUUGUGGUGCAGUGGUUGUGUGAUGAGGAACAGUUACGAGUGGAGAAAAUUUAUAUGGGCGGCCAAUCGCUCUCAGAGUAGCAGUGGUCCUACAUGCUGAACCUGGGAAAAGAGUUUAAAAGCUCUCUCAAAGAUGAUAUGGCCUGGUUUGCCCCCUCCUGUCUUUCCCACACUUUGAUUACCAAAAGUAAUUGGAUGGAUUUCCAGAUCAAGGGAACAUUACUCUCUCGUGCUCUGCAGUGCUGGGGCAGAAGACUUCAGGAGGCUAUUAAGAACAGUAAAACGCCUCUAAAGGGCUGUCCCUUUCAUCUCAUUGAUAACUGCCAGUGGCCACAGUGCAAUCCAACCUGUCCAGCCCUGAUUGACCAGGCCACACAACAGGAAAUGACUCUGCUCCAGGUGCUGUCCAGUAUGGGCUUGGACCUGCAAAAGCUUGGCUUGGAUGUAAGCAGAGAUAUUUCAGCCAGGAUGGUCAGCAGUGGUGGCUAAAUUAGCAUUAGAGAGCAGUGGUGUUCUCAUCGACACAGGUCACCUCAUCCACACUUUUUAGAGAUUGUUCAGUGGCUUCCUCUCUGACCACUUGCAGAGAUGGACCUGGGUUUGUCUAGUAAGUCACUGGAUUUCAGUACCAACAGUGUCCCUUUACAACCGUGUUCUAUCAACAGGAUUGAUUUUUGGUUCUCCAAGCGAGUGACUCCAGCUAGACACAGUUAAUCAAUGGUUGUUAAAACUUCUAAUCUAAUUCCUCAAUGCUAUAGCUAAAACUGUCUAACAACAUCAUAGUGUACCAACAAAAUCAAAAAGAGCUGAACUUCUAAGGACAUUUAGAAGAACGUCUGUCUUUCCAUCACAUUCUGGAGAAACCAAAGAGGAUUAUAAUAACUACAGCAGAUUAUAAAAAAAAAAAAAAAAAAAAGU